AGAACGAACGCUGGCGGCAUGCCUAACACAUGCAAGUCGAACGAGACCUUCGGGUCUAGUGGCGCACGGGUGCGUAACGCGUGGGAAUCUGCCCUUAGGUUCGGAAUAACAGUUAGAAAUGACUGCUAAUACCGGAUAAUGACGUAAGUCCAAAGAUUUAUCGCCUAGGGAUGAGCCCGCGUAAGAUUAGCUAGUUGGUGGGGUAAAGGCCUACCAAGGCUACGAUCUUUAGCUGGUCUGAGAGGAUGAUCAGCCACACUGGGACUGAGAACGGCCCAGACUCCUACGGGAGGCAGCAGUCGGGAAUUUUGCCCAAUGGACGAAAGUCUGAGGCAGCAACUCCGCGUGAGGGACGAAGGCCUUCGGGUCGUAAACCUCUUUUCUCAGGGAAGAUACAAGACGGUACCUGAGGAAUAAGCCACGGCUAACUACGUGCCAGCAGCCGC
rnacentral:rRNA from 1 species